CCUACGGGAGGCAGCAGUGAGGAAUAUUGGUCAAUGGGCGGGAGCCUGAACCAGCCAAGCCGCGUGAGGGAAGAAGGUACAGCGUAUCGUAAACCUCUUUUGUCAGGGAACAAAGGCGGGUACUAGUCCCCGGAUGAGGGUACCUGAAGAAAAAGCAUCGGCUAACUCCGUGCCAGCAGCCGCGGUAAUACGGAGGAUGCGAGCGUUAUCCGGAUUUAUUGGGUUUAAAGGGUGCGCAGGCGGGCGGUUAAGGCAGCGGUGAAAGCCCGGGGCUCAACUGCGGACGUGCCGUGGAAACUGGCGGGCUGGAGAGUGAGAGAGGUACGCGGAAUGCGCGGUGUAGCGGUGAAAUGCUUAGAUAUCGCGCAGAACCCCGAUUGCGAAGGCAGCGUACCGGCUCCACACUGACGCUGAGGCACGAAAGCGUGGGUAUCGAACAGGAUUAGAUACCCGGGUAGUC
rnacentral:rRNA from 1 species